UUUCAGUAAUUCUCCUGACACCUUCGUACAAAUGACAAAAUUACUUCUUUGUCAACUAGACAGAAAUCGUUAUUAUAUGAUCGGAAUCGGAGUUAAAACAGAUUCCAUCAAAGAAUGUGAUGAACCAAAUUUGUUUGUUGGCCUCACUGAUGACGUCACGAUGAAAAAUUUAUCUGGUUUAGAAAAAAUAACAGAAAUGGAAUUUCGAAAAAGUAUGAGGGACCACAAUAGAAGAAGGGAAACUUACUGUGUGAAGAAUAUUUAUAGAACCAAACAACCACAAAAAAGAGAAUCCGGCAUCACUGCUGAUAGAACACCAAUGAAAUAGUUCCCGUGAAGAAGUGAUAAUUUUCAAACUCAAUCAAAGAAAACAUUCAUGAAAUGAUUCCCAUGAAGUCUGUGAUUACAGCUGUGGAAAGUUAACUGCGGUAUCAUGAUCGUGAGAGUGAUUUUCAUGAAAAGAGAGAUGAGACCCGUUACUACAAACUUCACUCACAUAGUAACACUCAUGGAAACCAUGAUCACAAACAUGAAAGACCUUAUGAAAGAAUUUACGAACAAAUUUUUAAGAAGUUUAAACAUUGUGACAUUUUAUCUGAUUCACGACGCCAUAAAAAGAGAACAAGCCUUACGAAAUGUUUUCUUCAAAAUGCAAACUUUUGUCUGAGAAAAAACUUUUAAUUAGUCAAUUUGUUUUCUUUACCUGUAUGCAACAUGGCGCUUCUGAAGUAUCUUUUUAUUAUUUUCUUCUUCAUAGCACAGCUGGUUAGCCGUCUGCCUCGAACUCAGAGGUAAUGGGUUCAAGGCUUAUCGCUGCUACCAUUGUGGGCGUAUGUGUCCUUGGGCAAGACACUUAGCAGCAAUUGCUCAAACUCAGUGAUCACUAAUGGGUUGUCAUUCAUCAUUGAUAAAGUUUUUGAAGUAUUUGUACAUAGGGGCGUUGGAAUAACAGGGGAUGUUGGAGAAAAAGUACCUUCAUAAGUUAAAUUUGGCAAAAGCUCAUCUUCAUUUUCUAAAUUUACUUCAGGAAUAGCCCCUAGCCCGGAGUUGUGUGCCCCGGGUGUGCUCUAACAGCCGCUUUAAUUUA